rnacentral:tRNA from 1 species
UCCGAUAGGGCAACUACUGGCAGUUGCAACGAGCUGUUAACUCGUCCCCCUGUAGGUUCGAUUCCUGCUAUCGGAGC